CCAACAUUUAGGUUUUGAUUGG
rnacentral:siRNA from 1 species